rnacentral:rRNA from 1 species
CACAAGUUGUGCAUGCUAAAUUUAUUUAAUUUAAUUAAAUGUAUAAUAUUUUAAGUUAUUAAAAAAUUUAUUAGGUGGAAUUUUAAUUUUUUUAUAAUUUAAUUCAGUGUUUUUGAAGUUAGGAAAUUUCAGUAUAGACUAGGAUUAGAUACCCUAUUAUUGGAAGUGUAGUUUUUAAUUUAAAAUUACUAACAGUUAUGGUCUCUAAAAUUAAAAAAUUUGGCGGUAUUUUAGUCUUUUCAGAGGAACCUGUUUUUUAAUCGAUAGUCCACGAUAAUCUUUACUUUAAAUUUUAAUUUGUAUAUCGUCGUAGUUUGAAUAUUUUAGGAGAAUUAUAAUGUUCAAUUGGUUCAAUUUGAAGUGAAUUCAGAUCAAGGUGCAGUUUAUUUUAAAGUUAAAAUGGGUUACAUUAUAAUUAUAUUUAGUUCUAGGUUUCAAAAAUUUAGGUAAAUUGGAUUUGAAAGUAAUUUUUUAUGUUUAUUUAAGAUGACUAUGCUCUAAAAUAUGCACAUAUCGCCCGUCGCUUUCAUUUAAUGUGAA